GCCUGGGCUUGUCCAUUCUGGUUCUAGAGGCACAAUUCCCAGCACCUGCACCAGUUAUCACAGCUGCCUUCCUUGGCUGCCAGCCCUGGUUCAUGGAUCAGCUAGCUGAGUAGCACCUUGGUAUGCCUGGCCUGUGGGCCGAUAUGCUUCCCCAGACAGGAAUUUCGUUUGAUGGUGCAAAUGGAUGCAUCUGAUCUGCUUUCCACAUGGUACAUGGAAUGUUCUGGAACUCAUGUUAGCGUGCCAUCCUCCACUCACCAUGCACAAGCUCCUUAGUAGAGACCAUCUGAGUACCACCUCCCAGAGGUGGCAAUGCCCAGGAAGUCGGCCUGCAGCAGGGACAGGGUGGAGGAAGAGGGAGCCCAGCCCCACACUGUGGAGUCAGAGCAUUCUCUCCAGGUGGCCUUGGCCUUGGCGAACUGCUGCUGAAGCUCCGUGAGACCCCGGCGCUCAUCGCGGAGCAGCCAGCACAGCUCCUUCAGCGUCACCUUCAUGUCGGCCAGGGUCUUGAUGUACUCGUUGGGCUGCAGAGAGGAAAGGCCUGGGUCAGCAGCGUGGGAGGUGGGAAGGAACCCAGCUCGGGGCUCCCUGGGCCUCCAGCAGGUCCCCUCCAGGAUGAGCCCAGCCCUGGCUCCCUCCUGGGCAGACGUGAGUCCCAGCCUCACACGAACAAAGACUCCCGCAGUCACAGUAGUAACUAUUCCACCUAAAUUGAGCCGAAUAAUCUGGCCUCCUCAAGGUUUUCUGCAGCCUCUAGCCUGUCUCUCUGACCCACUGGAGGCCUCCAAGGAGCCUCCCUAACUGUGCUGAACCCAAUUCCAAAUCUUCUUUCCUAGGCCCACGACCCCAUUUCCCACCCAUACCCAGCUCACUCACUGUGUGUGGCUCUAGAAGUCUGAACCUCCUCUUCUCUCUCAUAUGUGGCUUGAUCACAGAGUUCUUAGUCCCAGAAAAUAAAGGCCCCUCUUUUAUUUA